GAUGAGCGCUGGCGGCGUGCCUAAUACAUGCAAGUCGAGCGAACAGAUAAGGAGCUUGCUCCUUUGACGUUAGCGGCGGACGGGUGAGUAACACGUGGGUAACCUACCUAUAAGACUGGGAUAACUUCGGGAAGCCGGAGCUAAUACCGGAUAACAUUUGGAACCGCAUGGUUCUAAAGUGAAAGAUGGUUUUGCUAUCACUUAUAGAUGGACCCGCGCCGUAUUAGCUAGUUGGUAAGGUAACGGCUUACCAAGGCGACGAUACGUAGCCGACCUGAGAGGGUGAUCGGCCACACUGGAACUGAGACACGGUCCAGACUCCUACGGGAGGCAGCAGUAGGGAAUCUUCCGCAAUAGGCGAAAGCCUGACGGAGCAACGCCGCGUGAGUGAUGAAGGGUUUCGGCUCGUAAAACUCUGUUAUUAGGGAAGAACAAAUGUGUAAGUAACUGUGCACGUCUUGACGGUACCUAAUCAGAAAGCCACGGCUAACUACGUG
rnacentral:rRNA from 1 species